rnacentral:misc_RNA from 1 species
AACGCACAUUGCGCCCGCCAGCAUUCUGGCGGGCAUGCCUGUUCGAGCGUCAUUUCAACCCUCGACUUCCCUUUGGGGAAAUCGGCGUUGGGGACUGGCAGCAUACCGCCGGCCCCGAAAUGGAGUGGCGGCCCGUCCGCGGCGACCUCUGCGUAGUAAUCCAACCUCGCACCGGAACCCCGACGUGGCCACGCCGUAAAACACCCCACUUUCUGAACGUUGACCUCGGAUCAGGUAGGAAUACCCGCUGAACUUAA